GACGAACGCUGGCGGCGCGCCUAAUACAUGCAAGUCGAGCGAAGCUUUUGAAGUGCUUGCACUUCAGAAGCUUAGCGGCGGACGGGUGAGUAACACGUAGGCAACCUGCCCGUAAGACCGGGAUAACACACGGAAACGUGUGCUAAUACCGGAUAACCUGCAGAAGCGCAUGCUUCUGUACGCAAAGGCGGAGCAAUCCGUCACUUACGGAUGGGCCUGCGGCGCAUUAGCUAGUAGGUAGGGUAAUGGCCUACCAAGGCGACGAUGCGUAGCCGACCUGAGAGGGUGAUCGGCCACACUGGGACUGAGACACGGCCCAGACUCCUACGGGAGGCAGCAGUAGGGAAUCUUCGGCAAUGGACGAAAGUCUGACCGAGCAACGCCGCGUGAGUGAAGAAGGCCUUCGGGUCGUAAAACUCUGUUGCCAAGGAAGAACGGCGCCAUCAGGAAAUGGAUGGCGAGUGACGGUACUUGAGAAGAAAGCCCCGGCUAACUACGUGCCAGCAGCCGCGGUAAAAC
rnacentral:rRNA from 1 species